rnacentral:lncRNA from 1 species
GAAGAAAAGAGUUUCUGAAUAUUUGGAAGAUUUUGCUGAAGUAAGUAAAUGCAGUUGCAUGUAGUUGAAGAGCAUCAGAUAAGACAAAACUGAGCCUUGUUGCAGAAGAAAAUCUUGCUCAGUGGCACUGGAGCUGCUGCCACGUCUUCACUGACUUAUCCCUAGUUUUUAGAAGCUGCUGUUAACUUCCUUUGAUGGUCUUUGAUUGGUCAGUAGCUAAGCCUAUAAUAUGGGCCUUUAGCUGCUUGGGAAUUUCAGUCUUAUUUUGCUAUCUUCAUCCUUUUACAACCUGUAAAAUCUAUGCAAUUGAGUUUCUUUGUCUUUUCUCCAGGGUUAAUUGUGACCUCUAUGAUGGGGAUAUGAUAAAGAAGAAAAGUACCUCACAGCGAUGAUUGGCAUGUGAUCACUUAGCCAAUGAGAUAAGAGGCUGUAGAAACGAUGUGAUAAUGACAUCUCCUGAGUUGCAGGUCCAUAUUAGAAGUGGAUAUGAAGUAAACAUUGAGCUUUCCUCAAAUUUAAUUAACAAGCUUUAUUAUAGAUACAGCUCAAAUUAGUUAAUUCAGGAAGCUUAUUUUGUAGAAAUUAAAACAUUAAUAAACACAUACAUUUAGAAAUAAAGAACUCGGCUGAGCCUUUGACUCUUUGAAACAAGUGGCCUUCCAUGCUGUGAAAGAUUGUAGCCACCCUUUGAGACAUUGGAAUGGUGUCCAUUGCAUUUUAUCAAGUAACUAUAGGUCAGCCUGGGAAAUCUGCAGUUUCCUCAUCUCCUGUCACUGUGGUUGCUGUGAGAUUUUGUGUCAUCACUGUGCUGUCUUCCCUCUCUGCAUGAAGAAUUUUCCUCAUUAAAUGCCUGAAUGUUUACACCAUACAGCAAAUAUCCCAUACUGGGCCCCAACAGAUGACUCAGUUGGCUGUUAAUGAACGAUUUGGUCAAAGUAGAAACAGACUAAAUGUGAGUUUGAGGAAGCCCUGAAGCCAGUUUCAAGUAUAUGGUGACAUCUCUCUGGUGGUCAGGUGGACCUGAUUUUUUUCUAUAUAGCAUUUCACAGGUAAGAUGGAAAAUUAAGUCAUAUAUGCAACAAAUCUCUUUUUAUGAUGUAUUCAGUAUCCUGUUAAUUGUAAUCUGAUCUCCCCUGGAGAGAAUAUGAGCUGCUCACCUUCAUGAUUUUGUCUGAAAUCUGGAUGAUCUUUUGCCUGGAUAAUGGUCAACACUCAAUUUGGCUUUGACGAGUCAGUCCCACAGUCUCAAUUGUGAUAUAGAGAAGAGCCCACAUUUCUACUCAGAUUUUUGCUACAAAAAUAGAAUUCGUAUCUAAAAUAAUA